AGUCCUUCGUUGUAAGAAUGUAGAUGCCGGUUGCACCUUCUGUUGUCUUGGAAGAGACUGCAGUGCUUGGCUGGAAAAUAAGCUGCUCGGGACUCCUCUGAGAAGCCAAAGUGAAGCUCAGAGAUGGAAACUCAUGCCCAAAGUUACGGAGGACCCAGCAACCAUCUCCUGCAGCCCCUGGAAACCUCUUGACUCUUCUGUGAUGUCCCCAGUGAUCCAGCAGCCCUGGCCUUCUUUUGAUGGCUUGAACAUUUGGUCUUCAUUGAACAGUUUGUAUAUUGGAAACUUGCCAGCCUCCAUCCACAUUCCAACCUCCGUCUGCAUCCCUCGAAUAACUGGGAGAUGAAACAGGAAGCUCUAUGACACACUUGAUCGAAUAUGACAGACACCGAAAAUCACGACUCAGCCCCCUCCAGCACCUCUACCUGUUGCCCGCCGAUCACAGCCGGAAUGCAGCUGAAAGAUUCCCUGGGGCCUGGUUCCAACCGCCCACUGUGGACUCUGAGGCCUCUGCAUUUGCGGGUGGUCUGCCUGUGAUAUUUUGGUCAUGGGCUGGUCUGGUCGGUUUCCCAUUUGUCUGGCCAGUCUCUAUGUGUCUUAAUCCCUUGUCCUUCAUUAAAAGCAAAAC
rnacentral:lncRNA from 1 species